rnacentral:lncRNA from 1 species
GAGUCUCGCUCUUGCCCAGGCUGGAGUGCAGUGGCGUGAUCUCGGCUCACUGCAAGCUCUGCCUCUCAGGUUCGCGCCAUUCUCCUGCCUUAGCCUCCCAAGUAGCUGGGCUAUUUGUUGGUUUGAAGAAAGCAGGAGCGAGUUUGAGGCACAAGAGAACUGCGAAAGGUCCAUUGGAUAUGAUUAGGAAGAGAUUUCUGGAGCAAUUAGGACCCUC